GAAUCUUAGACAAUGGGCGCAAGCCUGAUCUAGCCAUGCCGCGUGAGCGAUGAAGGCCUUAGGGUUGUAAAGCUCUUUCACCGGGGAAGAUAAUGACGGUACCCGGAGAAGAAGCCCCGGCUAACUCCGUGCCAGCCGCCGCGGUAAGACGGAGGGCGCAAGCGUUGUUCGGAAUUACUGGGCGUAAAGCGCGCGCAGGCGGGUGUUGUAAGUCGGAAGUGAAAGACCGGGGCUCAACCCCGGGGCGGCUUCCGAGACUGCACACCUGGAGACCGGUAGGGGCAGGCGGAAUUCCCGGUGUAGCGGUGGAAUGCGUAGAUAUCGGGAAGAACACCGGUGGCGAAGGCGGCCUGCUGGGCCGGUUCUGACGCUGAGGCGCGAAAGCGUGGGGAGCAAACAGG
rnacentral:rRNA from 1 species